ACCUGAUGAAUACAUUAGAUGACGAGUCUGAUUUGGAUUUUCCAAUGCGGAUAAACCCUUUUUUAUACCAUUCAUGCAACGACUGAAC
rnacentral:snoRNA from 1 species